AGUGAUCAGAAGUGAGAAUGUUGACAUGAGUAGCGACAAACAGGGUGAGAGACCCUGUCGCCGAAAGUCCAAGGGUUCCUGCUUAAAGCUAAUCUGAGCAGGGUAAGCCGGCCCCUAAGGCGAGGCCGAAAGGCGUAGUCGAUGGGAACCAGGUUAAUAUUCCUGGGCCAGGAGAUGGUGACGGAUCGCAGAGGUAGUUCUUCCUUAUCGGAUUGGAAGGGCUGCUGAGCGGUUCCUGGAAAUAGCCCUCCACAAGACCGUACCCUAAACCGACACAGGUGGACUGGUAGAGAAUACCAAGGCGCUUGAGAGAACCACAUCUAAGGAACUCGGCAAAAUACCUCCGUAAGUUCGCGAGAAGGAGGCCCCGUUUGUACGCAAGUAUGGGCGGGGGGCACAAACCAGGGGGUGGCGACUGUUUACUAAAAGCGCAGGGCUCUGCGAAGCCGUAAGGCGACGUAUAGGGUCUGACGCCUGCCCGGUGCCGGAAGGUUAAAAGGAGAUGUGCAAGCAUUGAAUUGAAGCCCCGGUAAACGGCGGCCGUAACUAUAACGGUCCUAAGGUAGCGAAAUUCCUUGUCGGGUAAGUUCCGACCUGCACGAAUGGCGUAACGACUUCCCCGCUGUCUCAAAUGUGGACUCAGCGAAAUUGAAUUGUCUGUGAAGAUGCAGACUUCCCGCGGUUAGACGGAAAGACCCCAUGCACCUUUACUAUAGCUUCGCACUGGCAUCAGGAUUGUGAUGUGCAGGAUAGGUGGUAGGCAUUGAAACCGGGACGCCAGUUCCGGUGGAGCCAUCCUUGAGAUACCACCCUUCGCACUCUUGAUGUCUAACCGCGGCCCGUUAUCCGGGUCCGGGACCCUGCGUGGUGGGUAGUUUGACUGGGGCGGUCGCCUCCCAAAAAGUAACGGAGGCGCGCGAAGGUUGGCUCAGAGCGGUCGGAAAUCGCUCGUUGAGUGCAAUGGCAGAAGCCAGCCUGACUGCAAGACUGACAAGUCGAGCAGAGACGAAAGUCGGCCAUAGUGAUCCGGUGGUCCCGAGUGGAAGGGCCAUCGCUCAACGGAUAAAAGGUACGCUGGGGAUAACAGGCUGAUGAUGCCCAAGAGUCCAUAUCGACGGCAUCGUUUGGCACCUCGAUGUCGGCUCAUCUCAUCCUGGGGCUGGAGCAGGUCCCAAGGGUACGGCUGUUCGCCGUUUAAAGAGGUACGUGAGCUGGGUUUAGAACGUCGUGAGACAGUUCGGUCCCUAUCUGCCGUGGGUGUAGGAUACUUGAGAGGAGUUGCCCCUAGUACGAGAGGACCGGGGUGAACGUUCCACUGGUGGACCAGUUGUCGUGCCAACGGCAGUGCUGGGUAGCUAUGAACGGACAGGAUAAACGCUGAAGGCAUCUAAGCGUGAAGCCCCCCUCAAAACAAGGUAUCCCUUAAGAGCCGUGGAAGACCACCACGUCGAUAGGCCGGAGAUGUAAGUGCAGCAAUGCAUUCAGUUGACCGGUACUAAUGGCUC
rnacentral:rRNA from 1 species